CGGGUGGUAAUGCCGGAUGUUCCAGUUGAUCGCAUGGUCUUCUGGGAAAGCUUUCGCGGUAUGGGAUGGGGUCGCGUCCUAUCAGCUUGACGGCGGGGUAACGGCCCACCGUGGCUUCGACGGGUAGCCGGCCUGAGAGGGCGACCGGCCACAUUGGGACUGAGAUACGGCCCAGACUCCUACGGGAGGCAGCAGUGGGGAAUAUUGCACAAUGGGCGCAAGCCUGAUGCAGCGACGCCGCGUGAGGGAUGGAGGCCUUCGGGUUGUAAACCUCUUUUAUCGGGGAGCAAGCGUGAGUGAGUUUACCCGUUGAAUAAGCACCGGCUAACUACGUGCCAGCAGCCGCGGUAAUACGUAGGGUGCAAGCGUUAUCCGGAAUUAUUGGGCGUAAAGGGCUCGUAGGCGGUUCGUCGCGUCCGGUGUGAAAGUCCAUCGCUUAACGGUGGAUCCGCGCCGGGUACGGGCGGGCUUGAGUGCGGUAGGGGAGACUGGAAUUCCCGGUGUAACGGUGGAAUGUGUAGAUAUCGGGAAGAACACCA
rnacentral:rRNA from 1 species